AUAUUUUACCCUUUUAUUAGGAUACACAAUAAAAGUGCAAUUGCAUUAUACAAUAUGAGAUAAUAACAAAUUUUAUUAAUAGAUUAAAUUAAAACAAUUCAUAAAAAUACUAAAAUAGCUUAGAGCGAAAUGCAUACACAUUCAACCGCGAGAAAAUACAUUCAGGCAAUAGCGCUGUCAAUCCUGUUCUGAACAGUAGGCCUAGUCUUCAGAACCAACAACAAGGUAUAUUCCUUGAGUUCGAGCCCUGUUGUUCAGGUUGGAUCAGAAGACUGAACCGGUCUUUGUAAUGUACUUCUACCCAGCCUCUCUCUUUCAGUACUGGCACUGCCCCAACAGGUAGCGGAGGCCGAGGAUGACAUUCUUAAUCUUGAGGGUUCGGUUCUUGGAGGAGAAGUAGAGGUUCAGUCUCUGCUCCCUCCGCAGGUAGACAGUGGUUUGUAGGCCCUUGCAGUCGAUGCCCCCUCUGCUCUCAAGGGUGAAGUUAGUGAUCGCUUGCUGCUCCGGGGCCAGGCGUAGCUCCAGGUGGCCCUGUCCGGGUUCGUUGUUAAAACCCCUGGGGCACACGUACAUGUGUAGGAUGUACGGGCCGUUGCAAGAGAUGACGAUCUCUUUGUUGUCCACCAGAUCCACACUUUUGUUUGUGUAGUUCAUGAACUUGAGUGUCUCCUUGUCUGAGAUAUCUGGGUGGGUGGACACAUGGGCAGACGGAUUGAAGGGACAGGGUGAAGUGGGUAGGAGGAAUAUUUUUGUAUCAUACUUUUAGUUGGGUUGGUUUGCUAAAUGGCCAAGAGAAAGUGUUUGCCUUUAACUUUAUAAACGUGGGUAUUUGUUUGACCGGCUACAAUUCAAAUGUUUUAACGGAAAUCUUAAACUGGUCCUUGUUUUUGAUGCAAAGGUUUUUUAUGACGCACCUGAGAUGGGAUGAAAUUGUAUGAAGAUGCCAUCAUAUGCUUUUUCCACGUUCUGCAAUAGAAAAGAAAGAGAGGAUUAUUGUCUUUCUAAUUAUGACACCAAAUGAAGUAAAAGCAAAAGGUAAUAUAAUAAUAACUUAAUCAAAUAUUAGUUGAUUCCAUU
ensembl:lncRNA